GUUCGCCCUAGCAACCGCGUUCCGUUGCUAGGCGGAAGGAGCGCCCGGCGCGGCGGCGGCGGCGGGCAGGCCUCGGCGCGGGGCGGGGGGGGGGACACGGCGGUGAGGCCGCCCGCCCCGCCGCAGGAGCGGGCCCCGCCGGGACUGAGGCGAGGGAGCUCUUAGUAGCCCCCGAGGAAACGUGAGGUGACAGGAGCCCCUGGGAGUCAUCACCCGAACGCUCCCAGGCCGCUUCCGGCGAAGAACUUGACGUUUUCCAGGCGAAUGUUUUCAAUUGCAAUAUGCCUUGGAAAUGGUUAAAAAAUUCACCUCGAGGAAAACCUCCGAGCGUGUGGCUAGCUGGCCCCCCGAGCCCCGUGGGCAAUCUCGUUAACCGGCCGCCCUGUCACAACUCGUCAGUGCGUGGCCCCUGCCAAGAAUGAGCCGCGGGUUAAUUUUGAAAAAUCACCUGGAAAGUCUGUUUAGAUCCAUAAUUUAGGUGUUAAAAUUAUUUCUUUUCCCCACUACCUUGUAUUCCUGACGCUGGGCUUGUAAGUUUUCCCCUGGUGCCAUAGUUAAGCAGAAAAUAAAUCCCAGUUAUAGUAAAAGUUGCUAAUAUUUCACUUUUGCUGUUUUGCUUACUCUUUCUUCUAUUAUGUAUGUGCAGUUCGCUGACUUAGUUACAAUAUUACACCUUUUAAGUCGGCAGCAUUAAUAUCAAAAAUAAAAUGUCUUAAUCCAGCCACCUAAA